UACGAAGGGGACUAGCGUUGUUCGGAAUCACUGGGCGUAAAGCGCACGUAGGCGGAUGUGUCAGUCAGGGGUGAAAUCCCGGGGCUCAACCUCGGAACUGCCUCCGAUACUGGCAGUCUCGAGUGCGGGAGAGGUGAGUGGAAUUCCCAGUGUAGAGGUGAAAUUCGUAGAUAUUGGGAAGAACACCAGUGGCGAAGGCGGCUCACUGGCCCGUAACUGACGCUGAGGUGCGAAAGCGUGGGGAGCAAACAGG
rnacentral:rRNA from 1 species